CCCUUAGACGUUCUGGGCCGCACGCGCGCUACACUGACCAGUGCAACAAGCAUCCGUCCUUGGCCGACAGGCUCGGGCAAUCUUUGAACGCUGGUCGUGAUGGGGAUAGACUUUUGCAAUUCUUGGUCUUCAACGAGGAAUUCCUAGUAAACGCAAGUCAUCAACUUGCAUUGAUUACGUCCCUGCCCUUUGUACACACCGCCCGUCGCACCUACCGAUUGAAUGGUCCGGUGAAGCCUCCGGAUUGGCGCGCACCUCGGUGCCGCCGAGAAGUUGGCUAAACCUUACCAUUUAGAGGAAGGUGAAGUCGUAACA
rnacentral:rRNA from 1 species